GAUGAACGCUGGCGGUCUGCUUAACACAUGCAAGUCGAACGGAAUCCUUAGGGAUUUAGUGGCGGACGGGUGAGUAACGCGUGAGAAACUGCAUUCAGGUUAGGGAAAACAGCUGGAAACGGCUGCUAAUACCGGCUGUGGCGAGAGGUGAAAGCUUUAGUGCCUGAAGAUGAGCGCGCGUCUGAUUAGCUAGUAGGAGUGGUAAUGGCACGCCUAGGCGACGAUCAGUGGCUGGUCUGAGAGGAUGAGCAGCCACACUGGGACUGGGACACGGCCCAGACUCCUACGGGAGGCAGCAGUGGGGAAUUUUCCGCAAUGGGCGCAAGCCUGACGGAGCAAGACCGCGUGAGGGAAGAAGGUCUGUGGAUUGUAAACCUCUUUUGAUGGGGAAGAAGACAGUGACGGUACCCAUCGAAUCAGCCUCGGCUAACUCCGUGCCAGCCGCCGCCGUAA
rnacentral:rRNA from 1 species